UAUGUGAAUAAUGCUGUCGGACU
rnacentral:piRNA from 1 species